rnacentral:rRNA from 1 species
AAAAUGAGAAGACACAGGGAUUGCCCUAGUACGGCGAGUGAAGCGGCAACAGCUCAAAUUUGAAAUCUGGCUCUCGGGCCCGAGUUGUAAUUUGUAGAGGAUGCUUUUGAUGCGGUGCCUUCCGAGUUCCCUGGAACGGGACGCCAUAGAGGGUGAGAGCCCCGUCUGGUUGGAUGCCAAAUCUCUGUAAAGCUCCUUCGACGAGUCGAGUAGUUUGGGAAUGCUGCUCUAAAUGGGAGGUAUAUGUCUUCUAAAGCUAAAUACCGGCCAGAGACCGAUAGCGCACAAGUAGAGUGAUCGAAAGAUGAAAAGCACUUUGAAAAGAGAGUUAAAAAGUACGUGAAAUUGUUGAAAGGGAAGCGUUUAUGACCAGACUUGGGCUUGGUUAAUCAUCUGGGGUUCUCCCCAGUGCACUUUUCCAGUCCAGGCCAGCAUCAGUUUUCGCCGGGGGAUAAAGGCUUCGGGAAUGUGGCUCUCUCCGGGGAGUGUUAUAGCCCGUUGCGUAAUACCCUGGCGGGGACUGAGGUUCGCGCAUCUGCAAGGAUGCUGGCGUAAUGGUCAUCAACGACCCGUCUUGAAACACGGACCAAGGAGUCGUCUUCGUAUGCGAGUGUUCGGGUGUCAAACCCCUACGCGUAAUGAAAGUGAACGCAGGUGAGAGCUUCGGCGCAUCAUCGACCGAUCCUGAUGUUCUCGGAUGGAUUUGAGUAAGAGCAUACGGGGCCGGACCCGAAAGAAGGUGAACUAUGCCUGUGUAGGGUGAAGCCAGAGGAAACUCUGGUGGAGGCUCGCAGCGGUUCUGACGUGCNAAUCGAUCGUCAAACAUGGGCAUGGGGGCGAAAGACUAAU